AGAUAAUACUUGAGACGAUCCAGUUUGUAUUAGUACAAAAUGGCCAAUUCAUUCAAUGAAUUGAGAAAUGACAUUCUAAGUGAGUUAGGAUGCCACGACAAUUGUAGAACACACAGUGUUUAACAAGUAACCAAUGAGAAUUUCUGAUCUAUCAAUCAGUUGGUAGUAUCGAGGACUACCAAGAUUAUAACGGAUAACGAGGAAUUGGGGUUCGACAUCGGAGAGGGAGCUUUACAGAUGGCUACCACUUCUAAGGAAGGCAGCAGGCGCGUAAAUUACCCACUUUCGAAUUCAAGAGGUAGUGACGACACAUAACUCUAGAGUUGAGUAAAAUCAAUUCUUGAAGGAAUGAGUAGGAGGUAAAUUCUCCUACGAAAUCAAUUGGAGGGCAAGUCUGGUGCCAGCAGCCGCGGUAAUUCCAGCUC
rnacentral:rRNA from 1 species